AUCUCAGUUGGAAUUAUUUCACAGCUGACAACCUCCACUUUUUAUCAUCUCUUUCUUCAUUGAAAUACUUGGAUCUUUCUAAUGUUGACCUCUCUGGUGCACCUAAUUGGCUACACUCUAUAAACAUGCUUCCUGCUCUAGUAGAGUUGCGUUUAUCCAUUUGUCACCUUUCCAACAUCCCUUCUCUUCCUCAUAUUAAUUUUACGUCUCUUGAUG
rnacentral:misc_RNA from 1 species